rnacentral:rRNA from 1 species
UACGGAGGGUGCAAGCGUUGUCCGGAUUUAUUGGGUUUAAAGGGUGCGUAGGCGGCUUUUUAAGUCAGCGGUGAAAGACUGUCGCUCAACGACGGAACUGCCGUUGAUACUGGGAAACUUGAGUAUGAUUGAGGUAGCCGGAAUGGAUAGUGUAGCGGUGAAGUGCAUAGAGAUCAAGAGGAACACUCGUGGCGAAAGCGAGCUACUGGACAAUUCCUGACGCUGAGGCUCGAAGGCUAGGGUAGCGAAAGGG